ensembl:lncRNA
CCUGGUUCCCAGUAACAACAGGUAAAGGCUGGUUCUCUGAGACUCAUAAUGAAUACACCCCCUGGUUCCCAGUAACACCAUGUAGAGGCUGGUUCUCUGAGACUCAUAAUGAAUACACCCCCUGGUUCCCAGUAACACCAUGUAAAGGCUGGUUCUCUGAGACUCAUAAUGAAUACACCCCCUGGUUCCCAGUAACACCAUGUAAAGGCUGGUUCUCUGAGACUCAUAAUGAAUACACCCCCUGGUUCCCAGUAACACCAUGUAGAGGCUGGUUCCCAGUAACACCAUGUAAAGGCUGGUUCUCUGAGACUCAUAAUGAAUACACCCCCUGGUUCCCAGUAACACCAUGUAGAAGCUGGUUCUCUGAGACUCAUAAUGAAUACACCCCCUGGUUCCCAGUAACACCAUGUAAAGGCUGGUUCUCUGAGACUCAUAAUGAAUACACCCCCUGGUUCCCAGUAACACCAUGUAGAAGCUGGUUCUCUGAGACUCAUAAUGAAUACACCCCCAGG